rnacentral:sRNA from 1 species
AUUUCAAAGAUUGGAGAACUGAAGAAGCU